CCUGGUUGAUCCUGCCAGUGGAAUAUGCUUGUUUCAAAGAUUAAGCCAUGCAUGUCUAAGCAUGCGCUGAAGUAAAGUGAAGCCGCGAAUAGCUCAUUACAACAGCCGUUGUUUCUUGGAUCUUUUCUCUACUUGGAUAACUGUGGUAAUUCUAGAGCUAAUUACAUGCAACAAAGCUCCGAUCGUGAGUGACGAGCGCAUUUAUUAGACCAAAGCCAUCCGGCCUCGGCCGUUCUUUGGUGACUCUGAAUAACCUAGCAGAUCGCAUGGGCUUGUCCCGGCGACAUAUCUUUCAAGUGUCUGCCUUAUCAACUUUCGAUGGUAGUUUAUGUGACUACCAUGGUUGUGACGGGUAACGGAGGAUCAGGGUCUGACUCCGGAGAGGGAGCCUGAGAAACGGCUACCACUUCUAAGGAAGGCAGCAGGCGCGCAAAUUACCCAUUCUCAGAACGAGGAGGUAGUGACGAAAAAUACCAAGGUGAGGCUCAUUGAGUUUCGCCAUUGGAAUGAGAACAAUCUAAAUCUUUUAACGAGGAUCUAGUGGAGGGCAAGUCUGGUGCCAGCAGCCGCGGUAAUUCCAGCUCCGCAAGUGUAUUCCUAUACUGUUGCGGUUAAAAAGCUCGUAGUUGGAUCUGAGUGCUCAGCGCCGGGUGCAGCUCUGCUGCUACUUGGCGCGGCACAUGAUCGUCAAUCGGUUUGCCGUUGUUGCCUUCACCGGUGACGGCGGUCGACUGUUGACACGUUUACUUUGAACAAAUCAGAGUGCUCAACACAAUCGUUUCGAUUGUAUGGUCGUGCAUGGAAUAAUAGAAUAGGACCUUGGUUCUAUUUUGUUGGUUUUUGGAACUUCGGUAAUGAUUAAGAGGGACAGACGGGGGCAUUCGUACUGCAACGGGAGAGGUGAAAUUCUUGGAUCGUUGCAAGACGAACUACUGCGAAAGCAUUUGCCAAGAAUGUUUUCAUUAAUCAAGAACGAAAGUAAUGGGUUCGAAGGCGAUCAGAUACCGCCCUAGUCAUUACCGUAAACGAUUGUAACUGGGAGCUAGCAGGCGUUUUCUAUGACUCUGCUAGAACCCACCCGGAAACGAGAAGUUUUCGAUAUCCGGGGGAAGUAUACUUGCAAAUGCGAAACUUAAAGGAAUUGACGGAAGGGCACCACCAGGGGUGGAGCCUGCGGCUUAAUUUGACUCAACACGGGGAAACUCAUCCGGUCCGACAUCAGUAGGAUUGACAGAUUGAGAGCUCUUUCUUGAUUUGAUGGACAGUGGUGCAUGGCCGUUCUUAGUUGGUGGAGUGAUUUGUCUGGUUUAUUCCGAUAACGAACGAGACUCUGGCCUACUAACUAGUUGCGCGAUCUUCUGUCGUGCCAACUUCUUAGAGGGACAAGCGGUGCUCAGCCGCAUGAAAAAGAGCAAUAACAGGUCUGUGAUGCCCUUCGAUGUUCGGAGCUGCACGCGCGCUACACUGUGAGUGGCAGCAUGUUAGCUUGCCUCGCUCGCAAGAGUGGGGUAAUCGGUUGAAAAUCUCACGUGAUUGGGAUCGGGACUUGUAACUAUUUCCCGUGAACGAGGAAUCCCUAGUAAGUGCAGGUCAUCAGCUUGCGCUGAUUACGUCCCUGCCCUUUGUACACACCGCCCGUCGCUGCCCGGAACUGAGCCAUUUCGAGAAAAAUGGGGACUGACUGCUUGUGGGUGCGCAAGCACUUCUUGCAGAUGGAAACCAUCUUGAUCGGUAUGGCUUGAACCGGGCAAAAGUCGUAACAAGGUUUCCGUAGGUGAACCUGCGGAAG
rnacentral:rRNA from 1 species